rnacentral:rRNA from 1 species
GAUGAACGCUGGCGGCAUGCCUAACACAUGCAAGUCGAUCGGUAAGGCUCUUCGGAGUACACGAGAGGCGGACGGCUGAGUAACGCGUAGGAACACACCCUGCAGUGAGGGAUAAGACACCGAAAGGUGUUCUAAUACCGCAUACGGUCUUCGGAUUAAAGCAUUUAUGCGCUGAAGGAGUGGCCUGCGUCAUAUUAGAUAGUUGGUGAGGUAAUGGCUCACCAAGUCGAUGAUGUGUAGCUGGUCUGAGAGGAUGAUCAGCCAGACUGGAACUGAGACACGGUCCAGACACCUACGGGAGGCAGCAGUGAGGAAUAUUUCACAAUGAGCGAAAGCUUGAUGGAGCAAUGCCGCGUGCAGGAUGAAGGCCCUCGGGUUGUAAACUGCUUUUAUAAGAGAAGAUUAUGACGGUAACUUAUGAAUAAGGGACGGCUAACUACGUG